UCCGGGGGUAGAGCACUGUUUCGGCUAGGGGGCCAUCCCGGCUUACCAACCCGAUGCAAACUGCGAAUACCGGAGAAUGUUAUCACGGGAGACACACGGCGGGUGCUAACGUCCGUCGUGAAGAGGGAAACAACCCAGACCGCCAGCUAAGGUCCCAAAGUCAUGGUUAAGUGGGAAACGAUGUGGGAAGGCCCAGACAGCCAGGAUGUUGGCUUAGAAGCAGCCAUCAUUUAAAGAAAGCGUAAUAGCUCACUGGUCGAGUCGGCCUGCGCGGAAGAUGUAACGGGGCUAAACCAUGCACCGAAGCUGCGGCAGCGACACUGUGUGUUGUUGGGUAGGGGAGCGUUCUGUAAGCCUGUGAAGGUGUGUCGUGAGGCAUGCUGGAGGUAUCAGAAGUGCGAAUGCUGACAUAAGUAACGAUAAAGCGGGUGAAAAGCCCGCUCGCCGGAAGACCAAGGGUUCCUGUCCAACGUUAAUCGGGGCAGGGUGAGUCGACCCCUAAGGCGAGGCCGAAAGGCGUAGUCGAUGGGAAACGGGUUAAUAUUCCCGUACUUGGUGUUACUGCGAAGGGGGGACGGAGAAGGCUAUGUUGGCCGGGCGACGGUUGUCCCGGUUUAAGCGUGUAGGUGUGUGUUCCAGGUAAAUCCGGUUCACUUUAACACUGAGGCGUGACGACGAGGCACUACGGUGCUGAAGCAACAAAUGCCCUGCUUCCAGGAAAAGCCUCUAAGCAUCAGGUAACAUCAAAUCGUACCCCAAACCGACACAGGUGGUCAGGUAGAGAAUACCAAGGCGCUUGAGAGAACUCGGGUGAAGGAACUAGGCAAAAUGGUGCCGUAACUUCGGGAGAAGGCACGCUGACACGUAGGUGAAGUGAUUUACUCAUGGAGCUGAAGUCAGUCGAAGAUACCAGCUGGCUGCAACUGUUUAUUAAAAACACAGCACUGUGCAAACACGAAAGUGGACGUAUACGGUGUGACGCCUGCCCGGUGCCGGAAGGUUAAUUGAUGGGGUCAGCGCAAGCGAAGCUCCUGAUCGAAGCCCCGGUAAACGGCGGCCGUAACUAUAACGGUCCUAAGGUAGCGAAAUUCCUUGUCGGGUAAGUUCCGACCUGCACGAAUGGCGUAAUGAUGGCCAGGCUGUCUCCACCCGAGACUCAGUGAAAUUGAACUCGCUGUGAAGAUGCAGUGUACCCGCGGCAAGACGGAAAGACCCCGUGAACCUUUACUAUAGCUUGACACUGAACAUUGAGCCUUGAUGUGUAGGAUAGGUGGGAGGCUUUGAAGUGUGGACGCCAGUCUGCAUGGAGCCGACCUUGAAAUACCACCCUUUAAUGUUUGAUGUUCUAACGUGGACCCGUUACCCGGGUUGCGGACAGUGUCUGGUGGGUAGUUUGACUGGGGCGGUCUCCUCC
rnacentral:rRNA from 1 species